rnacentral:rRNA from 1 species
CACUAUCGUUAACUGAAUACAUAGGUUAACGAGGCGAACCGGGGGAACUGAAACAUCUAAGUACCCCGAGGAAAAGAAAUCAACCGAGAUUCCCCCAGUAGCGGCGAGCGAACGGGGAGCAGCCCAGAGUCUGAAUCAGCUUGUGUGUUAGUGGAACGGUCUGGAAAGUCCGACGGUACAGGGUGAUAGUCCCGUACACCAAAAUGCACAGGCUGUGAACUCGAAGAGUAGGGCGGGACACGUGGUAUCCUGUCUGAAUAUGGGGGGACCAUCCUCCAAGGCUAAAUACUCCUGACUGACCGAUAGUGAACCAGUACCGUGAGGGAAAGGCGAAAAGAACCCCGGCGAGGGGAGUGAAAAAGAACCUGAAACCGUGUACGUACAAGCAGUGGGAGCACCUUCGGGUGUGACUGCGUACCUUUUGUAUAAUGGGUCAGCGACUUAUAUUCUGUAGCAAGGUUAACCGUAUAGGGGAGCCGCAGGGAAACCGAGUCUUAACUGGGCGUUAAGUUGCAGGGUAUAGACCCGAAACCCGGUGAUCUAGCCAUGGGCAGGUUGAAGGUUGGGUAACACUAACUGGAGGACCGAACCGACUAAUGUUGAAAAAUUAGCGGAUGACUUGUGGCUGGGGGUGAAAGGCCAAUCAAACCGGGAGAUAGCUGGUUCUCCCCGAAAGCUAUUUAGGUAGCGCCUCGUGAAUUCAUCUUCGGGGGUAGAGCACUGUUUCGGCUAGGGGGUCAUCCCGACUUACCAACCCGAUGCAAACUACGAAUACCGAAGAAUGUUAUCACGGGAGACACACGGCGGGUGCUAACGUCCGUCGUGAAGAGGGAAACAACCCAGACCGCCAGCUAAGGUCCCAAAGUCAUGGUUAAGUGGGAAACGAUGUGGGAAGGCACAGACAGCCAGGAUGUUGGCUUAGAAGCAGCCAUCAUUUAAAGAAAGCGUAAUAGCUCACUGGUCGAGUCGGCCUGCGCGGAAGAUGUAACGGGGCUAAACCAUGCACCGAAGCUGCGGCAGCGACACUAUGUGUUGUUGGGUAGGGGAGCGUUCUGUAAGCCUGCGAAGGUGUGCUGUGAGGCAUGCUGGAGGUAUCAGAAGUGCGAAUGCUGACAUAAGUAACGAUAAAGCGGGUGAAAAGCCCGCUCGCCGGAAGACCAAGGGUUCCUGUCCAACGUUAAUCGGGGCAGGGUGAGUCGACCCCUAAGGCGAGGCCGAAAGGCGUAGUCGAUGGGAAACAGGUUAAUAUUCCUGUACUUGGUGUUACUGCGAAGGGGGGACGGAGAAGGCUAUGUUAGCCGGGCGACGGUUGUCCCGGUUUAAGCAUGUAGGCUGAUUGUCCAGGCAAAUCCGGAUAAUCAAGGCUGAGGUGUGAUGACGAGGCACUACGGUGCUGAAGUAACAAAUGCCCUGCUUCCAGGAAAAGCCUCUAAGCAUCAGGUAACAUCAAAUCGUACCCCAAACCGACACAGGUGGUCAGGUAGAGAAUACCAAGGCGCUUGAGAGAACUCGGGUGAAGGAACUAGGCAAAAUGGUGCCGUAACUUCGGGAGAAGGCACGCUGGUGUGUAGGUGAAGCCCCUGCGGGUGGAGCUGAGACCAGUCGAAGAUACCAGCUGGCUGCAACUGUUUAUUAAAAACACAGCACUGUGCAAACACGAAAGUGGACGUAUACGGUGUGACGCCUGCCCGGUGCCGGAAGGUUAAUUGAUGGGGUUAUCCGUAAGGAGAAGCUCUUGAUCGAAGCCCCGGUAAACGGCGGCCGUAACUAUAACGGUCCUAAGGUAGCGAAAUUCCUUGUCGGGUAAGUUCCGACCUGCACGAAUGGCGUAAUGAUGGCCAGGCUGUCUCCACCCGAGACUCAGUGAAAUUGAACUCGCUGUGAAGAUGCAGUGUACCCGCGGCAAGACGGAAAGACCCCGUGAACCUUUACUAUAGCUUGACACUGAACAUUGAGCCUUGAUGUGUAGGAUAGGUGGGAGGCUUUGAAGCGUGGACGCCAGUCUGCGUGGAGCCAACCUUGAAAUACCACCCUUUAAUGUUUGAUGUUCUAACGUUGGCCCCUUACCGGGGUUGCGGACAGUGUCUGGUGGGUAGUUUGACUGGGGCGGUCUCCUCCCAAAGCGUAACGGAGGAGCACGAAGGUUAGCUAAUCCUGGUCGGACAUCAGGAGGUUAGUGCAAUGGCAUAAGCUAGCUUGACUGCGAGCGUGACGGCGCGAGCAGGUGCGAAAGCAGGUCAUAGUGAUCCGGUGGUUCUGAAUGGAAGGGCCAUCGCUCAACGGAUAAAAGGUACUCCGGGGAUAACAGGCUGAUACCGCCCAAGAGUUCAUAUCGACGGCGGUGUUUGGCACCUCGAUGUCGGCUCAUCACAUCCUGGGGCUGAAGUAGGUCCCAAGGGUAUGGCUGUUCGCCAUUUAAAGUGGUACGCGAGCUGGGUUUAGAACGUCGUGAGACAGUUCGGUCCCUAUCUGCCGUGGGCGCUGGAGAAUUGAGGGGGGCUGCUCCUAGUACGAGAGGACCGGAGUGGACGCAUCACUGGUGUUCGGGUUGUCAUGCCAAUGGCACUGCCCGGUAGCUAAAUGCGGAAGAGAUAAGUGCUGAAAGCAUCUAAGCACGAAACUUGCCCCGAGAUGAGUUCUCCCUGAGACUUUAAGUCUCCUGAAGGAACGUUAAAGACGAUGACGUUGAUAGGCCGGGUGUGUAAGCGCAGCGAUGCGUUGAGCUAACCGGUACUAAUGAACCGUGAGGCUUAACCUU